AAAUAAAUAAGAAAUGAAAUAGAAGGAGUAUAGAACUUUAUUUUCCAAGUAACUUAUCACCAACUGGACAAUGGUUGAAGAUUUGGAAUAUAAAGAGAUGAUGAGGCCUUUUAUGUGGUGAUAGUGUUCUAAUGAAGACCCUUAGUCUAGUACAAGCUGCUGCCAUUGCUGCAGAACGCAGAUUACAGUAUGAGAUAUGUUGUGGUUCUCAAUCUGGUGGUGACUAUGAAGUUGCCAAGAACAUUGUGCAGCAUAAGGGGAAAAAUGUAAGAAGUUCAAGUUUACCUGUUAACUCAUCAUCUAGUACUCCUAAUUUUGUAGAUUUGACUAUGGAUACACACAAAAUUGGAUCUAAACGACGAAUAUGCCGUGGAUCAGAAAGCACUUCACAUUCUCAAUGCAAAUCAAGUGUGUCAUCUAGUGAUAAUAGAACUCUUCAUUCUGAAGAAUCUGGAAUGUGAGAGUGUGUGAUCUGCACUCUGUUGAAUAAAAGUCGCAUAUGCGAGUUAUGAGGCAAUCGCCAAAAGAUGUUAGUACCAAAUACAACAAAACUUGGUCUUGAAAAUUUUGUACGUUGGAAAACAAUGUCAAGUUGGACAAGUGCUCAGCCUGUGACCAGUGGAGAUACUCUUAUGGCUCAGCAGUAUCAAACCUUGGUACUUGGCAGAAGAACUGUGUAAUUUGCUUUGUUGGUUUUUUGGCUUUAGUCUUCACAAGCACUCUGUUUUUGGUCGUUUACUACCCAUAUGUGGGAUGCUAUCAGUAUAAACACAGAAGAAGCUAACAUGAUGUAGGGUUUAAGGGGCACGAAAUUAAUAUAAACAUUUCUAUAAGUAAAAUACAAAAAGUCUUAGCAAUCUUCUUAUGUGCAUAUAUC